GUACACAUUUGAAAAAAAAAAUUAAAUUUUGAAAUUACUGGAGCCUCCAGUAGAUCAAGUUUUGCAAAGGUUUUCUUUUAGUGAAAAUGAUGAAAAUCGUGGAACUAUCUGAUAUCAACUUCGAAAUCUUAAUCGAAUCCCAUAAUUUCUAAUCACCAACGCGAUUUUAAAUUUUUUCAAAAUUUCUGAAUUCGUCCAAAAGGUGCGGAGACUAAGCAAUUUGGGCACCUAGAAAUCAUUCAAAUAUACGCCAAUGUGCGGUCGGUAGCCUAACCAGGAUUUCAUCGAAGAAGGGAUGGAUAAAAGAUCAAAGACCUCGUUGACUUCCGAAUAGAUUACUGAGAAUGUACUCUAUUUCAAAUAUUUAAUCAGAAAACUAUAUCUUUUUUCAAGUCUGAUAUUGGCUAUCGUCACAAGAUAAAGAAAUAAAAGCCUCAAGUUCAUAAAUACCCUCGUGGAUAUCUCGAUUCACGAUAACCAUCUUUUCUCGUUCAAGUGGUUCAUGUUUUCAGCAUGCAUUUCGCGACUACACUUCUUAUUGUUUUGUUUUCCAUUUAUUCAACAUCAGGUCAAGAACUCGCACAAGAAGGUUGGACUGCGCCAGCCGUUACGCCACAUCCAUACGAAAAAAAAUGGAUGUUCAAAGUUAUGAAGUUCGCAGGUUAUACUAUUCCGGGCCCUACAGGACCGACCCAAGAUCCAGGUAGAGUGUGUAUUGUUAAUCGAAAUUGCGACCAAGGUCAGAAAUGUGUCGUCGAGUAUAAAAAAAUGUCCUUGUGGGGACAUUGCACACCCGUCAACCAGGAACAAAAAAUCGCCCAAGAACCCGUCAAUUCGGAAAGAAAAAUUGACGAAAAUCAACCCGUCAACUUGGAGAAAAAAAUCGACCAAAAUGAAUAAGAUUAAAUUUAUGGAAUCCCCCAGUGGUGGAAAAAGUACAGACUCAAGGACGAAGAAAGAUUUCAAUGCCCUUCUGAAACCAACGAUGAGCAAUACAUAUCGAAGAAUCAAAACUGGGUACAGCAUGAACAAAAAGUUUUAGAAUAAGUAGGUAAUGGACAUUUGACGACGAAGAUUUUACUCACUUAAAACGACAGUACGAGAAAACACAUCUGAACGAUAAACGUUUUGUAUGUAUAAAUAAGCUUCAAUUAAAACAGAAAAUGUUGUAAAUCUAGAUUUUUUCACUUGAGACUUUUGAAGCUUUUCUGAACCAAAAUGUACAAUAAAUUAUUUUGUUUUCCAUUUUUUUCAUCAGAAUAUGAAAUUGUUUUUCGAGUAAGUAAUUUAAAAUAGAGUAAAUUAAUAAUGAAGUCGAAAAAAAACGAUUCGAAAUCAUUACGAAAAAAUUCUAAAUCAUUAUUAAAAAUUUUAUAUAUUUUUUUGGUGUUUUUAAUUACUAUAGAUUUUUAUACCCUUCGUGAGGAGGUUUACAUGGGGAUUGCUAUUUUUAAUUAGGUAUCCUAAAAAAACUUAUUUCAAAUCGCCAUUGAAAAAAAAUUAAUUUGAUAUCAUCCCAUUCUAAUUCAGCAAAAUUACUCGGUAUAAAAAAAAUCAUUAUUGGAAGUACCAUACACACUACACAGUAUUUCAAAGUAUUUAAUUAGAAAUUUCUCGAGCCAGAUAUUGCCUAUCGUUAUAUACAAGAUAAAAGAAUAAUUUACUUAGUCUAAAGUUCACCAAUGUGCUCGGGAAUAUCUCGAUUAUUUUCCACUGAAGUGGUUUAUAGUUUUUUCAGCAUGAAUUUCGUGAGUAUACUUAUCGUUGUUUUGUUCAUCAUUUCUUCAACAUCAGGUAAAAUAAAAUGGGGUCAAAAAAUUCGUCCAUUGACACGGGGUCCAGCACAUCAAAUAACAUACGGUCAAAUAGUACCAGACGAGUGGAGUGCGAUAAUCCCUCCGGCACCUACCCCGCCACCUGGUUUGAUGUGCAUGAGUAAUAAAAAUUGCGGCUACGCAUUCAAAUGUGUCGAUAGAUCAUAUAAAACUUUAUGGUUUUUUGGAAAGUGUGUACCCAGAGACUGGGACACAGAGGUCGUCAAACAGAGCUAAAAUAACGAAGAAUGAUUUCAAGUCCAUUCAGAUCAACGAGUAGCAAGAGAAUCAAAACUGGAUACACUAUACAAAAAAAUUUAAGAAUGGAGUAUUGUAUGUACUUUUGACGCCGAAGAUUCAUUUACUUGAAACAAGAUAAUGAGAAAAUGUACCUAUAGUUACUUAUCUACUUGUAAAUAAACGUUUUAUAAAAAAGUCCAAAUUUUAAAUCACCAUUAAAAAUAUGAUUUUGAAUUAGCCUGAUCACCGUUGAAAAGAAUUAAACCACCACAAAAAAUUCAUUCGAAAUCAUUGCAGAAAAAUUCAUUUUUGGAGUAACUACAAAAAAUUAAAUUGUAAUGAACAUAAAAAUAUUUGAAGCACUUAAUGAUGUUACAAUACUUUUCAAUCAAUCAUACCCAUUCUAUUCUACCUAAAUGAUUAAAUCUGCAAAAAAAAUUAUUGAUAAUUCUAUCUGUAAUAGGGAUUCUGAGUGUUCUUCCAGGGUAGAUAGAUAUACAGGGUGCCCAGAAAUAUCGAGUACCCCUAAGAAAGUUUUUCAUUAAAAAUAUAGGUUGGCAACGUGAAAUAGAUGCAUAUGAUUGGUGGAAUGUUAUCUCUCCAGUCCAACAACCAAUCAUGUGCUAACAUUAUUAUCAUUCACUGUGACCAACCGAAGUAUUUUAGUAGAAAACUUUUUUAGGGGUACUUGAUAUUUCUGGGCACCCUGUACCACAUAUAUCAGAUCACAAUUGUGUAUUUCUAUCCUUGAAACUGGUCAAAAAACCUGUGAAUACAGAAAAACAACCUCCUUUAAAAAAACAUACAUACAAUGUUCUCUAGAACAAAUUUUGAUAAUUUUUUGCACUCUCUGGAAUCUGAAAAUUGGGAUGCACUAAAAACAGGUGAUAUUAAUUCAAGAUUUUCUAAUUUUUUAAAUAUUUUUUUGAACCAUUACAACUUAUCUUUCCCACUCCAAACUUACAUAAAUCAUAACCCUAACCAGUUAUGUGAUCCCCGUAGUAUUCGAACCCAAAUACGCACCCUAAAAACUAGACUAUUAGAAUCUUACUCAGAUUGGAAAUUUGGUGAGUCUGAAGAUGAAAAAAUUGCAUACAAGCUCCUUUAAAAGGGAUAUAAAAAAUUGAUCAAUUGGGCAAAUAUAGGAUCAAACUCUCACAAAGUUGCAGUCUCAAACAAUAUCUGCAAAAUUAUAUGGAAGAUAUAUCUUCCAUGUUAUAUUCCAAGACACCAAAUAUACCAACCCAGCUGACAUGGCAAAAUUAUUCAGCCAACAUUUUGCAACUGUUGGGAAUAAGGUACAGUAAAAGCUCGUUAUAACGCUUUCGGUUAUAACGCUGAUUUCGUUAUAACGCUGAUUUCGUUAUAACGCUGAUUUCCUCUGGUCCCUAGACAACCCCAUUUAAACCAAUGUAAAAUUAAUCGCGAUAUAACGCUCAUGAGUGAUUAUAAAUCGCGUUUUAACGCUCUAAAAUUCAGGAAAAAUCAGAUUUUUUUAGAAUUUUUACAACAAAAAACCACUUUUUUGCGACAAAAAAGCAAAAUUUUCAGAAAAUUUUGGCCGCAGCAACAAUUUUUUUUAAUUUUUACAGUUUUGAUUUAGAAAAAAAUGUUUGAAAACUUUUUGGGAAACAUUCUGCCAAAAAAACUUUUUUUCAACUUCCAACAGUUGGAAUUAUUUUUGAUUUUGGCCAAAAAAAGAUAGAUUUUUUGACAUCAAACUUCAAUAGUUCCCUUUCAGAUUUUUUUACCUUAUAAAUAAGUACAUAAUACAGCUGGUUAUUCAAAAUCUGAAAUAAAAUUUACGUUUGAACUUCCUUUUAUUACGUUUUUUUUUGUUUUAAAACGAGAAUUCGCGGUAUAACGCUAAUCAGCGUUAAAACUAGACUUUCGGUUAUAACGCGCUUCGGCUUAUAACGCUCUUUUUCUCCGGUCCCUUGAAGAGCGUUAUAACGAGCUUUUACUGUAGUUAAUUCUUCUCCAACAUUGCACCCAUUAUCCCUUAUUCCAGCUAAUGAUACCUCAAUGUUUGUGUUAGAAGCUACUGCAGCUGUCAUACAGGGUCUCAAAAAUUCUAACUCAAGGGAUAGACAGUGUGGUUUAGAUGUAGGCCUCAUCAAACAAGCUGAUUGCCCAUACAACAAUGACCAUGCUAUUUUAAUGUGAAUGUUGACCCAUCCACAUCCGUCACUUUUGGAUGCCACAUGUCGAUGUGAAUUUCGACCCUGUGUAGAGCUAAUUGUCAAUGUAAUUGUCGACUGAUGUUGAUCUGCAUUUGUGUCGACAAUUGGCUCAACACAGGGUCGAAAUUCACAUCGACAUGGGGCAUCCAAAAGUGACGGGUGUGGAUGGAUCAACAUUCACAUCGAAAUUUAUGUCAACCUCCUGCUUCGUGAAGUUAUAAAAUUUGAGUUUAAAAAUUUUAAUUUUUUUCUCAAGAAUGAUUUCCUCUGAUGUGGCUAUUGCUCAUGCUGAAAAUAGCAUCGAUGCAAAGUCCACUUCCGAAGAAGUACAGACAAAAAGUCUGUAUAAUCAAAAAGUUGAACAGAAAUUCCUUAUAUCAAAUAUGGUGCAAUACUUUAUCUAAGAGUACUAAACUAAUCCAUUUUCAUGUCAACAUGUUGAUGUGAAAUUUGACAUCAGCAAAUACAUCCACAAUAUCAACAUCAUAUCAUCUACAACUUCAAACUGUGGAAAAGUGAAUAAUUUCAUCAAUGCUCUAAAAAAUUUGUUUUCCUCAUUGAACAAGAUCAUAUUUUUGAAUGUUUACUAAACUUUUAAACACUAAAACAGAAAUUUUAAUUCUAAAAAAUUGGUCAACAUAGUUAUAGAUGUAAAUUUUGAGCAUCAAAUUUUACAUCUAUAUGUCGAUAUGGCAUGUUGAGGUAUCAGAAAUAAUGAGAAAAUUUCGAAACUUUUCAUUUACCUGGCUUUUGUAAGGACAGAAGAUUCCUACUAAAUAAUUAAUUGAUCACUUUUCCAGCAUUAUGUUGGAAAAAAACAUAGUCAAUGUAAAUGUCGACGUUGACAAUAAUUGUUGUGCGGGUCAUAUCAUCUACAACUACAAAAUGUAGAAAAGUGAAUAAUUUCAUCAAUGCUCUAAAAAAUUUGUUUUCCUCAUUGAACAAGAUCAUAUUUUUGAAUGUUUACCAAACUUUUAAACACUGAAACAUAAAUUUUAAUUCUGAAAAAUUGGUCGACACAGUUGUAAAGAUGUAAAUUUCGAGCAUCAAAUUUUAUGUCUACAUGUCAAGAUAUCAGAAAUAAUGAGAAAAUCUUGAAACUUUUCAUUUACCUGGCUUUUGUAUGGACAGAAGAUUCCUACUAAAUAAUUAAUUGAUCACUUUUCCAUCAUUAUAAUGGAAAAGAACGUAGUCGAUGCAAAUGUCAACGUCGACAAUUGUUGUGCGGGUUAUGUUUAUUCUCUAUGUCUAUAAUUAUGUUAACAAUUUGGGACACACUGCUUAAAAAAAAACAGAACAUGUUCUCCAAAACUUAAUUUGUUGGUUUAAUGCAAAUGGCACGAGCUUGAACUUGGAAAAAACAUCAACAGUACCUUUCAGUGUAACCCCCAAGGAGGCAAACCUGGUAGCAGAAACUCUCUCAACUCUACCAAUGUCUCCAGUGUUCCAAAAAUUCUUAGGGAUUGACGUUCAAUGCAAUUUAAAAUGUGAUGUAUACAUCAAUAAAUUAACCACUCGUUUGUCAUCUACAGGUAAACUUUCUACUACUUCAGCUACGCCAAAUUACAAAUCAAAAAACUCUCAGACUUGCAUAUUUUGGACUAUUCCACUCUACAAUGGUCAAUGGGGUGGUUUUUUGGGGAGGUAAUGUAUGUUAUGUUAAGCAAAUUCUCACAUUACAAAAAAGUCUGAUAAGAACAAUUUAUAAAUUACCUCUAAGACAAACACUCAGGCCCUUAUAACCUUUCCAAAAAUUACCCUUACCCAUCCAUACAGUACCAGAUCCUGAGGUAACCUUAGAACUCCCCACCACCGCACAAAACUUCUCAAGUGUAGUACUGUAUCAUCUGCAGCAAAAAUAUACAAUCAGAUUCCAGGAAGUGUGAAAAACUAGCCAACUGCAAAAAAAAUUCAAAAAUGACCUCAAAGAACGGCAUGAUAACUAGGGCUUAUUAUACCCUAGGGAAGAAUAUCUCUCACCUCCCCUGAUCAAUAAACAUUCAAAUUUUUUGAAAUAACCCGGUAUAGAUUUUUAGGUAUAUAUAUUUUUAACUCCUCAUCUUUUAUGUUUUAAUCAUGUCUUUUUAUUCAAUUUAAAUCUGAAAUUUGUAUUCUAUAGAUUUUGUUUCCCCCAACUAUGUAAUGUUCAACGUGAUAUAAUGGCAGCAAUGCUGUCGCACAUAUCUCAAAUAAAGGUUAACGAAAUCACAAUUCAAUGCAAUUGCAAAAAUAUUCAUUCGAAAUUACCAACUACAAAAAAAUCAUUGAAGAUUGCUAGAAAAAAAUCGAUAUUUUCUGAUUUUUGAUAUCCAUUUUUUGAUACAAGUAUUUUUUUUAGAUAUCGACAACACUUAUCAAGAUCAUUUGAUAUUCUUCCCAUCUCACAACGAGGAACAUUCUCUACAAGGUUUCCUAUAAUUGAAACUAUACAUUUGGAAUACUAGGAACUAGGAAGUACAGAGUUGGCGUAUCGAUAUCGAUAUGCUUACCUCUCAUUUGAUCGCGAAGUAGAUAGAGUGAAUGUUUGUAAUUGUAAAUUUAACUUCAUUUUCUACACAGUUACCACUAUUUUCUCGCCUAAAUUGCAAUGUUGUCGCGGCAAAUAAAAGUAAUUUUAAUCGUUUCAAUCGUUCUGUGUUCUACGUUAUCAGUCGACAGUGACAACGCGCCUGCGCCUACACCUGAAAAGCCUCACGCUUGCUUUACGAACACUUGUUGUAAACCUCACCAAUAUUGUCGCAGGUACUUAUCAACGUUUUUUUUGAUGGGAAGAUGUCACGACAGAUCGGAAAUAGAAGAUCCUCCGACAGAUGCUGCCGUUGGUGAUGCUGCCGUUGCUGAUGCUGCUGUUGGUGCAAACUGAAAUAAUUUUUUAUGGAUUUUUCUUUGUAUUGAAACUAGAAGAUAGGUACUUUUGAAUUAUAAUAUUGGUAUGCGAACUACAAAUAUCAUUCACAACUACGCAGCUCAGGUCUGCUAAAAUUUGCCAGUAUAAUUGACUGAAAUAGUACUUUGAUGGUGAUCUAAAACGUUGAUAAAAUAGUGUCAAUUGUUGUGCCCAUUUUUUGGACAAGCGAGAAAAUCGGAUAUAUGUACAAUUAUACGUACUUGUACCUUCCUCAGUUCCUACGUAUGAUUAUUAUUAAUUUAUUAAGUGACCAAAAAUGUGUAUUGUUAGAUCAAUUGUUAUUUAUUAAGCAUGUAAAUCGUUUCCUCGUCAAUUUGUAUUAGAAUUUGUAAUUUUCAUCUCAAGUCGACUCAUCUAAUUAAUUAAAUUAAUAUUCAUCAGUGGAUCAGUGAACUUCUUACUCGCGAAUUUCCGCAUAGGUACGAUACCGCAUCAUUAAAGCAUUUCAAAUGGUCCUUAGAUAUCUAAAAACGACUCAAAUUUUCUUUGUAUGUUCCCACGAGCUUUCAAUCUUUGGCGAAAUUUUUAAGCGCAAUCGUCCCAGCAGUUUGGGCUCGUGGGAUUAAAUUUGAAGUGAGUUCAAAAAUGGGACAGCUACGACGAAAUAGCCUAAAUUCAGAUCAAUCUGAAAUAUUUCAGCUCGAAGGUAGUGAUGAGUACGAUUUUGGGGAGUGAUGGGGGACUCUCUGAGUUCUGUAUUAUUGAACCCUUUUUCAAAGUAUAUACUUCCGUAAUUCCACACAAUUUUAUCAACAUUUUUUCAUCUUCAUCCACGUGAUAUUUCACGAAUCACGCCACCAAAUAUUAUUAGGCCUACGUAGUAAUAAUUAUCUCACUGAUAAUUAUUUCAAAUCAAAGUAGGUAGUUUUGAUACAAAUCAAAAUCCAUCAAAAAUUAUCUCAGUCCGAAUCAACAGACUCUUUUUUUCUUUCAUUACGUAGCCUCCUUGCCCGCCCAAAGCAAUAGUUACCUUUCGACAAUAUUGAUGUUUAGCAGAGUACGUACACUAAUCCUACAUAAAGUAUCACGAUUUUUUUUUUUUUGUUCGAGUGGUUUAUAGUUUUUUAGCAUGCAUUUCGUGAGUAUACUCUUCAUCGUUUCGUUUGCCAUUUGUUCAGUACCAGAUGAAGAAGGUUGGACACAGACAGUCUACACAGAACCGUAUAUUACUUGGGUGGACCCUUUACGACCUACCAGAGACCCCAAUAAAGUUUGUCAUUGCGAUUUAGUUUGCGACUACGGUAAAAAAUGUGUCAAAUCAUACAAAACUUUGUGGUGGUGGGGAUAUUGCAAAUAAGACACGCCAGUCAACCAGAAAAGUGAAAUCUGCGAAAAUCAGUGAAAUGGAAUCGCAUUCAAUUUUCAGCGACAUAGACAAAGUGCAGAGACAGACCCAAUGGCGAAAAAAAGAUUUCAAUGUCCUCAUGAGCAAGACCAGGGCAUAUCUUAUAGAAACAAAAUUUGGCACCCAACAAGAAAAAUAUUGGAAUAUUGUACCCAGGACAACAAAACUUAUUGACUUGAAAAAUACGCAAAUCUCAACAGGAUGAAUUUAAAUAAACGUUUUACAAGCAAAUUUCAAUAAACCUAAUGCAUUUGUUGUUCAUUUUA